rnacentral:lncRNA from 1 species
GCCAGGUCUCCAGAUCGGGUGACGUGCUGCUGGCCUCCGAAGGCCGGGCGCGAGGCUGCGCUCAGAGAGGCAUGACAUGGUCCGGUGCGACGGCGAGGACAGACGUGACGCCGCCCGGCCUUCCUGGUGAGCGCGGCUGUGAGGCUUGGCCCCCGCAGGCCGACCCACCCGCAGGGCGUCACCCCUGAGCGCUCUUGCUUCCCUAGACCAUUCUAGGCUGGCGCCGCGGGGACCCGGAACACCCAAGGGCUCGUUCCUCUGCGCUCCUGAAGGAGCCGACACAUGACUGCUGCUCUCUGGACCCCUAGAACCCUCAAAACGACAAGGUGAGGAGUCCCCGGCCAGCCGCGGGCAGCGGGCGCGGGCCAAGGAGCAGGGAACUCACCGUGUCCUGCCCCGCAGAAAUGGUGCUACCCAGCUCACGCCUGGGCCUUGGA